AGAGUUUGAUCCUGGCUCAGGAUGAACGCUAGCGGAACGCCUAACACAUGCAAGUCGAACGCUUUGUAGCAAUACAAGGAGUGGCAAACGAGCGAGUAACGCGUACUUAAUCUGCCCAAAAGUUGAGAACAACUAUAGAGAUGUAGCUAAUUCUCAAUAUGCUCACGAUGGUGAAAUCCCGAUGUGAGGAAAGAUUUAUCGCUUUUGGAGGAGGGUGCGUCCUAUCAUGGUAGUUGGUGAGGUAAUAGCUUACCAAGCCUUUGACGGGUAGCCGGUCUGAGAUGAUGUCCGGCCGCGAUGGAACUGAGAUACGGUCCAUACUCCUACGGGAGGCAGCAGUGGGGAAUCUUGCACAAUGGGCGAAAGCCUGAUGCAGCGAUUCCGCGUGGAGGAUGAAGCAUUACGGUGUGUAAACUCCUUUUUUGGUGGAAGACGAAUGACGGUACACCAAGAAUAAGGGACGGCUAACUACGUGCCAGCAGCCGCGGUAAUACGUAGGUCCCAAGCGUUAUCCGGAAUCAUUGGGCGUAAAGCGUUUGUAGGUGGACUGUUAAGUUGGGUGUUAAAUUUUGCAGCUCAACUGCAAAAUUGUGCUCAAAACUGGCAGACUAGAGUACUGCAGAGGUACGUGGAAUUCUGUGUGUAGGGGUAAAAUCCGUAGAUACACAGAGGAACACCAAAAGCGAAAGCAGCGUACUGGGCAGUUACUGACACUCAAAAACGAAAGCGUGGGGAGCAAACGGGAUUAGAUACCCCGGUAGUCCACGCCCUAAACGAUGGAUACUAGGUGUUGGGGGACUCGACCCCCUCAGUGCCGACGUUAACACAUUAAGUAUCCCGCCUGGGGAGUACGGUCGCAAGAUUAA
rnacentral:rRNA from 1 species